rnacentral:misc_RNA from 1 species
GCCAUCGCAAGAAAGAAGAAAAGAGCUUUCUUGCUUUCCUGCUAAAAAGGCCUGCGGAAGUUCAAAUUGCCCCCUCAUCCCACCUCAUCCACUCACUCAUGUAUAAUUGAUCAUUCUCCUACAAAUCUUUAACUUCAACCUCAAUUCUUAAAAUUACGAAACUAACAUAGUUACGUUUAAAGUUAAACAACUGACCGAAGUUGGGACGCGGAAGAGGUAGAGACUGAAAGAAACGCAUCGUUUAAACUUGUAAUUAAAGACUUCUUCUUCUCUCGCGUUUCUCUGAGAAAGUGAAGAAUUUUGACUAGAGUAGGGAGUAAGGAGAGGCGUUGAUUUCGUCUCAAUAGAACAAUUAUUUCAAUCCAAUAAGCUUAUGCUGUUGGAUCUGCUCAAUUGAAAUUCUGGAUUUUGGUGGGAUUGGCCGAGGGUUGUCUGCUGUUUGAGGCAGACUUGGGUGAAUGUGUGAAGGCUUGGGAUUCUUUCAAGUUAGAGAUGUCUCACGCCAUGGAAAGGUUUUUAUCUGCAGUAGCCGCCUCUGUGGAAAAUCAGGCGGCGGGAGAGUCAGUCAUCGGCACCAUCAAAAUUGCUGUUCUGCCCAUAGCAAAAGUUUUUACAAUGUGCUUUUUGGGAUUUCUUAUGGCCUCCAAAUAUGUUAACAUUUUGCCUGCCAAUGGAAGAAAACUCCUUAAUGGGUUGGUUUUUUCGCUUUUGCUUCCUUGUUUGAUAUUCUCUCAACUUGGGCAAGCUGUUACAUUGAAGAAGAUGUUGGAGUGGUGGUUUAUCCCCAUGAAUGUUGUUCUAGGCGCUACAUCAGGCUCGCUAAUAGGUUUUAUUGUUGCAUAUAUUGUUCGCCCCCCAUACCCAUUUUUCAAGUUCACUAUUAUACAAAUUGGAAUUGGGAACAUUGGGAAUGUGCCGCUUGUCCUAAUUGCAGCUCUAUGCAGAGAUAAAUCCAAUCCUUUCGGUGACUCAGAAAAAUGUAGCACAGAUGGGACUGCCUAUAUCUCCUUUGGCCAGUGGGUUGGUGCAAUCAUCCUAUACACAUAUGUAUUUCAUAUGUUGGCACCUCCUCCUGAAGGUACAUUUGAAAUUGAGGAUGGAAGUCUUCCGCUUAAGAACCCUCCAAAAGAUGCUGCUCCUGAGCAAGUGCCCUUGCUUACCCAGGAGGAUGAUAAACCAAUAGAUUCAAAUGCUUCAAAGAAAGGAAAGAUUAAACAAUUUCUAGUUUUUCUAUAUGAGAAGUUGAAGCUCAAGCAAAUCCUUCAGCCCCCUAUCAUUGCUUCUAUCCUAGCCAUGUUCCUUGGUGCAGUACCAUUUUUGAAGCGAUUGAUCUUUACAACUGAUGCUCCACUCUACUUUUUUACUGACAGCUGCAAUAUUCUUGGGGAGGCCAUGAUUCCGUGCAUUUUGUUGGCUUUGGGAGGGAACCUUGUUGAUGGACCAGGAAGUUCUAAACUUGGUUUACGGACAACUGCUGCUAUUAUUUUUGCUCGGUUAAUUUUGGUGCCUCCUGCUGGACUAGGCAUUGUUAUGUUGGCUGAUAAGCUUGGCUUCCUUCCUCCUGGUGAUAAGAUGUUCCGGUUUGUCCUACUUCUUCAACAUACAAUGCCUACAUCUGUCCUGUCAGGUGCUGUCGCUAAUCUCAGAGGUUGUGGAAGAGAGGCUGCUGCUGUCCUGUUCUGGGUUCAUAUUUUUGCCGUUUUCUCAAUGGCCGGAUGGAUUGUUCUUUAUAUCAACAUUCUCUUCUGAGUUGCAAACCUGCCGCAAGCUGUUGCUGACAUGUACCUGCCCUCUUCAUAGCGAUUUAUUUCACUUUUGGUGCCAAUAGCUAAGUGGGUUACAAAAGAAAAUUUUGAAAUUUAUUGGGAAGCAGAGGUUCUCAAUAGCAGUUUUUCGGACAGAUUUCAGAAUCUGUGGACUUGGAUUGUCAUUCUUAUAUAUAAGCUGGCGAAUCAUUUUUAUUGUUUCCAUUCCUCUAUCCUUGGAAGAUUUUGGAUUCAUAUUAUCCAAUACAUGUCUAAUUAUCUAGAAUGUGUCAGUAAAUAGUUUGAAAUUUUAAAAUAAUAGUAUUGAAG